AUUGAACGCUAGCGGGAUGCUUUACACAUGCAAGUCGAACGGAGUGGCGAACGGGUGAGUAAUGUAUCGGAACGUACCCAGUAGCGGGGGAUAACUCCGCGAAAGAGUAGCUAAUACCGCAUACUAUUGGAGCGGCCGCUAACGGAUUAGCUAGUGGGUGAGGUAACGGCUCACCAAGGGGACGAUCCGUAGCUGGUUUGAGAGGACGACCAGCCACACUGGGACUGAGACACGGCCCAGACUCCUACGGGAGGCAGCAGUGGGGAAUGUUGGACAAUGGGGGCAACCCUGAUCCAGCAAUCCCGCGUGUGCGAUGAAGGCCUUCGGGUUGUAAAGCACUUUUGGCAGGAAAGCGGUACCUGCAGAAUAAGCACCGGCUAACUACGUGCCAGCAGCCGCGGUAAUAC
rnacentral:rRNA from 1 species